GUGACUCUUACCACAAGGAUCUGUAUACUUUGGUUCAAACUUAUAACCAAACCCUUGCAUGUUCAAACAAACCAAACUUCAUUUUUCAAGAAAAUACACAUACUCAACCAUAUUAAGUAUCAACAGAUGUGCACCAGCCAGGAUACUAAUCCUAAAUUUCAAUUUCAAGAAUGAGUAACUACACUUUUCAAUCAAACACACUCCAACCCUUUAAGAAACAAAAUGAUAAGUUAAGAGUUAAAAGUGACAGAGCUUAACCACGUGAAUGAAUACAUCCUCCACUAAGCACGGAUUAUCUUGUAAACCAAACGCAUCCAGACAAGUAAGGGCAACAUGGGAUUUUCUUGCAAAUCCAUCCCAAACAAUGAAAAUAUACAUGAACUCAUACGAUUCUCAAUAACAUACAUAAAAAUGGUAGGUCACAUACAGGCUAAAUUAAUACGGCAUUCUUCAAAGCAUAACUACUAUUUAAUAUCAAAAACUCAUAGGCAUCUUGAACUUCCUAUUGAUUUCAAGGCUUCAAACUCACAUGUCAUAUAUUCAUAGAUCUAAGGAGUACCUGGAAAGGAAAAGAAAUAAGAGGAGAAAGGGUCAGCAAUAGCAGCUAACAGAGAUCAGCUAGAAACAGCCAAUGGAACAGUAGAAUCAGCUUCAAAUGGACAUUGACCCAGCAACUUCAACCCAGACUCUAAUGACUCGAAUUCAAACCAUUUUUUACCCCGAAAAAAUAAGAAUUGUUCAGUAAUGGAAGAACUGAAACUUCAAAACCACAAAGAAGUCUAAUGGAACAGUGUUUUACUAAACUUUUUCAGCCGUUUCUUCCUUUUGAUUUUCUACCCCAUAUCUAAAAAAAAUCCCCCUUCAGCUCUCUUUAGCAAUGCCUUUAUAAGCAAGCUACUAGGGCAGCUGAAAUAGUUAAAAUUUACCCUUUGGACCUUUCUCAAUUUUUAUUUUUACUACUUAGUCCCUAAAUUAUUGACUUGCUUGCCAAGCAAGUUUUUUUUUGCAGCUUCUGAGAAGCUUCCUAAGCAGUUAUUGCAAGAUUCCCUAAGUGAACUACCCCAAUUACCCCUUAGUUACCCUGAAAAUUACCCUUGGACUCAAAUGGGUCAUGGGUCUAACUUGACCCAAUUUUCUAAACCCAAAGUGAGUCGGACUUUAACCCAAGCCCAACCCCACAGAAUCAGGAGCCCAAACAGCUUCAAUUGGCAUUUGCUCCAUUAUCGAAUUGCAACCCACAAUAGCACACACUGACAAUUGAAAGAAGUUAGCCUAAAUGACUUACUAAUCUAACAUUAACCCAAACUAACCACUUUAAGUUAAUUAGCUUACUGCCUAUUUAGAAAACAAAAACCAUUUGCUCAUGCAUGACUCAAAGAAAUUCCGGGACAAAAUAAAAAGAAGAGAAGAAGGAACAGAGCAUGGAAAAAGAACACUGAAGGAAAUAUUAAACAAAAAACAAAAGAAAAGAUACCUAUUACAGUUCAGACCAAGAAGAGAUAGGCGUGAAUCUUCAAAUCUCCGAAUUUCCUGUCAAAUAUGAUAUUAAUUGCAUGUUCUCAUAGAAAACAAACGAAUAAAAUCAUAUUAGACCCGAAUCGUCUGCAGAAUCUCGAUUGGGGUUCUAGGGUUCGACUUUGUGAUCUAAUAUUUGAAGAAUUCUAGAACGAUUCGAAGGAAAAGAAACACAGAUUGAGGAAGAGGAUGUGAGGGGGAUUCUAUGGUGUUAUUUUGGUGGUGGUUGGUGGUGGCACCGCCACCCUCAGGUGGGGGAUUUCAAGGGCGGCUGGCUAGGGUUCGGAGUUUGGUUUGAGUCUCUGAAGGGUGUGAGAGAGAUGAGAGA
rnacentral:lncRNA from 1 species